rnacentral:rRNA from 1 species
AUCAACUUUCGAUGGUAGGAUAGAGGCCUACCAUGGUGGUAACGGGUAACGGGGUGUUAGGGCACGACACCGGAGAGGGAGCCUGAGAAACGGCUACCACAUCCAAGGAUGGCAGCAGGCGCGCAAAUUACCCAAUCCCGACACGGGGAGGUAGUGACAAUAAAUAACAAUACGGGGUUCUUUAGGAUCUCGUAAUUGGAAUGAGUACAAUUUAAAUCUCUUAACGAGGAACAAUUGGAGGGCAAGUCUGGUGCCAGCAGCCGCGGUAAUUCCAGCUCCAAUAGCGUAUAUUAAAGUUGCUGCAGUUAAAAAGCUCGUAGUUGAAUUUCGGGAUCGAUAUAUCGGUCGUGCCUCGGUACGUACUGGCAUUUUCGGUUUCUCCCUUCUGACGAACCUUGAUGUCAUUAAUUUGGUGUCUUGGGGAAUCAGGACUGUUACUUUGAAAAAAUUAGAGUGUUUAAAGCAGGCUCACGCUUGAAUACAUUAGCAUGGAAUAAUGAAAUAGGACGUUUGAUUCUAUUUUGUUGGUUUCUAGGAUCGACGUAAUGAUUAAUAGGGAUAGUUGGGGGCAUUAGUAUUCAAUUGUCAGAGGUGAAAUUCUUGGAUUUAUUGAAGACUAACUACUGCGAAAGCAUUUGCCAAGGAUGUUUUCAUUAAUCAAGAACGAAAGUUAGGGGAUCGAAGACGAUCAGAUACCGUCGUAGUCUUAACCAUAAACUAUGCCGACUAGGGAUCGGAUGAUGUUAAUUUUUUAAUGACUCAUUCGGCGCCUUACGGGAAACCAAAGUGUUUGGGUUC